rnacentral:rRNA from 1 species
CGGAUUGGAGGCUGAAACCCGCCUCCCAUGAAGUUGGAUUCGCUAGUAAUCGCGCAUCAGCCAUGGCGCGGUGAAUACGUUCCCGGGCCUUGUACACACCGCCCGUCAAGCCAUGGGAGCCGGGGGUGCCUGAAGUUCGUGACCGCAAGGAGCGACCUAGGGCAAAACUGGUGACUGGGGCUAAGUCGUAACAAGGUACC